GUUCUUCAGUUGCAGAUUGCAUAAUUCUCUGCAUAGUUAAUUAGCCUUGUUUCCAUGUUCAUCAAUGGUCAGGACCACCAUAGGACCACUACAGUUGGCUGUAGGUUUUCUCGUAAUUUCACUUCUUUAAUUGGUUGGUCUCAGCCUUGAAAUCACACUGGCCUGAAAAUCUACAACUUUAUUUAAAAACUUGAGCAGUACUUCUGUGUGUGAUCUAAUCUAUGUAACACAAGCACUCACUAACAUGCCACUACCAUCACUUUGGCCCUGUGGGGAUCCUAACAAUUGAUAAAUGGCAGAAAAGGCAGGCUAACAAAGUAUGCAGAGAAACUGAUGGACUACAAUCUGUAAUUGUAGAACGUCACAUUGCACCUAUAUGAUAAUUGGACCAGAUAAAAAAGACAGUAAGUGUAGAUACAAGGUACGUCUAAUAAAGUGGCCAGUGACUUAUUACAACAGUAUGUAGGUAUGUAAUGACUUUUUAUGAUACUGUUACAUUUUACCAGCUAUAUGUUUUCUUUUUAAGGUUUCCAUGCUACAAGGAAAGCUAACAGAAAAAGAGAGUGACCUUAAAGAAAUUAUACUUAGUCUCCAAGAGACCCAACAGAGCUACAGUGAACUUAAAAAAUCUGAAAGUAUGAUUACAGUGUAAAAAAAACAUCCUGCUACACAGGUUUUUAAAUGUGAUCCUUUAAGCAAAUUGUCAUGUAAUAUUUUUUUUUUUAGAACGGCACCAGGAAUUACUUCACAUCUCUAAACAAGAACAGGAUAAACUUGAGGAGAAAUUGAAAAGGACAGAACAACUCAGACAGGAAACUGAGGUUUCUGCUAUGUAACUUGAAGAAUGAACUUGUUUACUUGUGGACUUUAGACUAUUCUAUUGAUAAACAUUAGUUCCACAUUACUUGAUGUUUCCAUAGGAACGCCAGAAGAUAUUAGCAAGCAUACUUGAGGAAACCAAAGAAAAUUAUGCAAAGAGCCUUCAAGAGACUGAUGCCAAACUUGAGGGAGUGAAUACUCUCAAAGAACAACUGGCCGACAAACUGAAAGAGACAGGAAUUACUGUGGAGUCUUUGCAAUGUUCACUAACAUCUGAGAAACAGAGGGCCCAAGAACUGGAAUCGAAGCUUAGCUCAAUAUCUGAGGAACUCAAUGAGAGGGAUGCAG
ensembl:lncRNA